rnacentral:lncRNA from 1 species
UGAAUCAUCUGACUUGGAAGCUGGAAACUGAAGUGAAGUUAAUCACUUUUGACAGAAUAACUCAUAGGUGGUAGAGGCAGGCUUUCACUAUGGAGUCUUGGCUAGCCUGGAACACACAGAGAUGUAUCUUCCCCUGCUGGGAUUAAAGGCCUAGCUCACACUAGCCAGAAUUUUACAGAAGAAGAAGGAGGAGGAGGAGGAGGAGGAGGAGGAGAAGGAGGAGAAGGAGAGGAGAAAGAAGAAGAAGAAGAAGAAGAAGAAGAAGAAGAAGAAGAAGAAGAAGAAGAAGAAGGAAGAAGAAGAAAGAAGAAGAAAAGAAGAAGAAAAGAAGAAGAAGAAAACGGAAAUUUUUAUUUGGACAAAAACUUAGGCCUUGGCAGCAUGGGGGCUCAAGCCUGGAUUCCCAAUUCUCUGAAGGCUGAUGCAGGAGGAUUAAUGUGAGUUUGAUGCCUGCGUGGUAUAGUAUGAGACAGUAUAAAGAAAGACCCCCCCCCCCC